rnacentral:rRNA from 1 species
UACGUAGGGUCCGAGCGUUGUCCGGAAUUACUGGGCGUAAAGAGCUCGUAGGUGGUUUGUCGCGUUGUUCGUGAAAACUCACAGCUUAACUGUGGGCGUGCGGGCGAUACGGGCAGACUUGAGUACUGCAGGGGAGACUGGAAUUCCUGGUGUAGCGGUGGAAUGCGCAGAUAUCAGGAGGAACACCGGUGGCGAAGGCGGGUCUCUGGGCAGUAACUGACGCUGAGGAGCGAAAGCGUGGGGAGCGAA